UCGCAUACUGAAAAGACGCAACUAAAAGUAUUGAUGACAAUGAAAUGAAGCUUUCAUCGAGCUUUUACCGCAGCGCUUUUUGUGAAAUUAAUUGAAUUGCGUUAUGCGUAGUGUAUAAAGGCAAAGCAGAGAGAGCUUUACACAGUGACGGAGUACGCUUCAAACGAGAUUAUUGUGGAGUAAACGGGAUCUUUAGAUUUUGUGAUAAAAUAAUACAAACUAUGGAAAACGAAGAUGCCAAAAUCGAUACAAUAACAUCGAAGACAGAAGUAUUGGCUAUUGGAGAGAAGAGAAAUAAGAACAAAAAAAAGAGAAAUAAGCCAGCAGAAAUAAUCGAUGAAAGAGCGAAAUUCAAUGACGAUUGCUUGAAGCGGAUUGGUCUACUUCUAAUGGGAAGUCAAGCUCCCAUUGGGGAUGUUGACGAUUCAACCACAUCGGAUUGGAUUGGAGUAGAGACGAUUAAAGAACAUAAUAAGCCCGAUCGUUUUAAAUUUUACUGUCUACGCGGUAAAAAUAAUCCGAAUACUAAGUUAUGGUUGUUCCGCAUACAUAAUGCUCACGUUAUAUUGCACGGAGUGAGAAAGCUACUGAAAGACGAAAAUUGGAUAUCAAAAGAUGUGAUACAGUCCCCACUCAGAGCAGAUGUAAGCGGUCAAUACUAUAAUGAUGAGGCAUACUACAUUCAGAGAAUAAUUGCUGAAGUAGCUCAUGCUGAACGCAAUAGGAUACGUCAGUUCGUGCAUUAUUUAAACUUCGAACAUAGUAAAAAGUCGGCAAAAGUUUAAUUCAUAUACAUGAAUACAACAAUAUUUAACAAUUUACACUAUUUCUUGAUGUGCAAAGAUUACCAGUUCUGUCAUCGGUACUCAUGCUUUGGACGACGGGAUUGCGUGCUUCCUGGCUGCAAUUAAUUUCCGUAAUCUUUGAGUGCCAACAUGAACAACAGAAAAACCAUUCGAAGCCUUAUCGAAGAACAUUAAUCAAAUGAGCUGGUUCCCCUUCUUUUUUUUGUUUUAUUAAAAGAUUAAAUCGUUGCAAUGCGAAAUGACAGUGGGAAAGUUUGAGAGAAAUAUGUUGAAGAAAAGACGAAAAAAUAAAUUUCUUGUGAGCAGUUUUAAAAAUCCUUAAAAUACUUUAAUUAAUUGCUUAAGCAGCAGGCGCAAAAGAGCAAUUCGCAUACUGAAAAGACGCAACUAAAAGUAUUGAUGACAAUGAAAUGAAGCUUUCAUCGCGCUUUUACCUCAGCGCUUUUUGUGAAAUUAAUUCUAUUUCGUUAUGCGUCGUGUAUAAAGGCAAAACAGAGAUAGCUUUACACAGUCACGGAGUACGCUUCGAACGAGAUUAUUGUGGAGUAAACGGGAUCUUCAGAUUUUGUGUUAAAAUAAUACCUGAGCCAGCAAUAACCAACUAUGGAAAACGAAGAAGCCAAAAUUGAUACAAUAACCUCGAAGACAAAAGUAUUGGCUAUUGGAGAUGAGAGAAAACCAUACGCAAAGAAGAAGAAGCCAGUAAAAGACGAUGACAGAGUGAAACUCAAAAAUGAUUAUUUCAAGCGCAUUGGUUUCCUUCUAAUGGGAAGUCAUGCUCCCAUCGGGGAUGUCAAUUCAACCACAUCGGAUUGGUUUGGAAUAGAGACGAUUAAGAAACAGGAUCAGCCUAAUCGUUUUCAAUUUUACUGUGUACGCAGUAAAAAUCAUCCGAAUACUAAGGUAUGGUUUUUCCCCACACAUAACGCCCAGUCGAUAUUGCACGGAGUGAGAAAGCUACUGAAAGACGAAAAUUGGAUAUCAAAAGAUGUGAUACAAUCCCCACUCAAAGCAGAUGUAAGCGGUCAAUACUAUAAUGAUGAGACAUACUACAUUCACAGAAUGGUUUCUAAAGUAUCUUAUGAUGAACACGUUAAGCUGUCUCAGUUCAUGCAUUACUUAAACUUCGAACAUAGUAAAAAGUCGGCAAAAGUUUAAUUCAUAUACAUGAAUACAACAAUAUUUAACUAUUUACACUAUUUCUUGAUGUGCAAAGAUUACCAGUUCUGUCAUGCUACAAUUAAUUUCCGUAAUCUUUGGGUGCCGACACCCCUUCUUCUUUUUUUGUAUUACUAAAAGAUUAAAUCGUUGCAAUGCGAAAUGACAGUGGGAAAGUUUGAGAGAAAUAUGUUGAAGAAUAGGCGAAAAAAUAAAUUUCUUGUGAGCAGUUUUAUAUAAAAGAGCAAUUCGCAUACGGACAAGACGCAACUAAAAGUAUUGAUGACAAUAAAAUUAAACUUUCGUCGAGCUUUUACCGCAGCGCUUUUUGUGAAAUUAAUUCUAUUUCGUUAUGCGUAGUGUAUAAAGGCAAAACAGAGAUAGCUUUACACAGUCACGGAGUACGCUUCAAACGAGAUUAUUGUGGAGUAAACGGGAUCUUCAGAUUUUGUGUUAAAAUAAUACCAACUAUGGAAAACGAAGAAGCCAAAAUUGAUACAAUCACAUCGAAGACAAAAGUAUUGGCUAUUGGAGAUGAGAGAAUACCAUACGCCAUAAAGAAGAAGCCAGUAAAAUACGAUAACAGCGUGAAACUCAGACAUGAUUAUUUGAAGCGCAUUGGUCUACUUCUAAUGGGAAGUCAAGCACCCAUUGGGGAUGUCGACGAUUCAACCACAUCGGAUUGGAUUGGAGUAGAGACGAUUAAAGAACAUAAUAAGCCCGAUCGUUUUAAAUUUUACUGCCUACGCGGUAAAAAUAAUCCGAAUACUAAGUUAUGGUUGUUCCGCACACAUAAUGCCCAGGCGAUAAUGUAUGGAGUGAGAAAGCUACUGAAAGACGAAAAUUGGAUAUCAAAAGAUGUGAUACAAUCCCCACUCAAAGCAGAUGUAAGCGGUCAAUACUAUAAUGAUGAGACAUACUACAUUCACAGAAUGGUUUCUAAAGUAUCUUAUGAUGAACACGUUAAGCUGUCUCAGUUCAUGCAUUACUUAAACUUCGAACAUAGUAAAAAGUCGGCAAAAGUUUAAUUCAUAUACAUGAAUACAACAAUA